AGAGGAAGUAAAAGUCGUAACAAGGUCUCCGUUGGUGAACCAGCGGAGGGAUCAUUACUGAGUUUACGCUCUACAACCCUUUGUGAACAUACCUACAACUGUUGCUUCGGCGGGUAGGGUCUCCGCGACCCUCCCGGCCUCCCGCCUCCGGGCGGGUCGGCGCCCGCCGGAGGAUAACCAAACUCUGAUUUAACGACGUUUCUUCUGAGUGGUACAAGCAAAUAAUCAAAACUUUUAACAACGGAUCUCUUGGUUCUGGCAUCGAUGAAGAACGCAGCGAAAUGCGAUAAGUAAUGUGAAUUGCAGAAUUCAGUGAAUCAUCGAAUCUUUGAACGCACAUUGCGCCCGCCAGCAUUCUGGCGGGCAUGCCUGUUCGAGCGUCAUUUCAACCCUCAAGCUCUGCUUGGUGUUGGGGCCCUACAGCCGAUGUAGGCCCUCAAAGGUAGUGGCGGACCCUCCCGGAGCCUCCUUUGCGUAGUAACUUUACGUCUCGCACUGGGAUCCGGAGGGACUCUUGCCGUAAAACCCCCCAAUUUUCCAAAGGUUGACCUCGGAUCAGGUAGGAAUACCCGCUGAACUUAAGCAUA
rnacentral:rRNA from 1 species